CUCUGACGACACACAUAACAAAUGGUAAGCGUCUCCGUGGAUGGAGCCUGAAGUAUAUUCAAAUUCAAGGCAUGCCACAAAGCAUCUCGCGUGUGGGAUGCUCCGGCGUGUGGAAAGUAGAAAAGCCAAAUAAAUGGAUACAUGUACAGCAGGCGUGAGUUCUUAAAUACUCAGAUUCCUUGUCCAUAGGCAAAAGCAUAGUUCAUACGAAU